UACGUAGGGGGCUAGCGUUGUCCGGAUUUAUUGGGCGUAAAGAGCGUGUAGGCGGCCAGGUAGGUCUGGUGUGAAAACUCGAGGCUUAACCUCGAGAUGUCAUCGGAAACCAUCUGGCUAGAGUCCGGGAGAGGUGAGUGGAACUGCGAGUGUAGAGGUGAAAUUCGUAGAUAUUCGCAAGAACACCAGUGGCGAAGGCGGCUCACUGGCCCGGUACUGACGCUGAGGUGCGAAAGCGUGGGGAGCAAACAGG
rnacentral:rRNA from 1 species